UAGAGUUUGAUCUGGCUCAGGACGAACGCUGGCGGCGUGCUUAACACAUGCAAGUCGAACGGUGAUGGGGGAGCUUGCUUCUCCUGAUCAGUGGCGAACGGGUGAGUAACACGUGAGUAACCUGCCCUUGACUCUGGGAUAACUCCGGGAAACCGGGGCUAAUACUGGAUACGAAGCGCCUCGGCAUCGGGUGCGCUUGGAAAGUUUUUCGGUCAAGGAUGGACUCGCGGCCUAUCAGCUUGUUGGCGGGGUAACGGCCCACCAAGGCGUCGACGGGUAGCCGGCCUGAGAGGGCGACCGGCCACACUGGGACUGAGACACGGCCCAGACUCCUACGGGAGGCAGCAGUGGGGAAUAUUGCACAAUGGGCGAAAGCCUGAUGCAGCGACGCCGCGUGAGGGAUGAAGGCCUUCGGGUUGUAAACCUCUUUCAGUAGGGAAGAAGCGAAAGUGACGGACCUGCAG
rnacentral:rRNA from 1 species